GCAAUGCACUCCAGUAUUCUUGCCUGGGAAAUCCCAUAGACAGAGGAGCCUGGUAGGCUACAGACCAUGGGUUUGCAGAGUCGGAACUCUGCAAACUCUUUGCACAACUUUGCACAACUGAGUGACUAAACAAAAAUAGAACCAAGUCACUAUGAGAACACAUUCAGCUGAUAAACACAACUCAUCUCAGUGAACAUGCUUUUGUAAGCCAACUGAUCAUCAUUAGCCUUUUGCUUAUAAAAGUCAGCUAAUCAGGGAUAAACUCAAUCCAAAAAUUAUGCCUUAGAGUACCAACCAAUCAACAAUAGUCACUUGCGUAACCAAGCUUUUAAGGAUCAUGCCACCCCUUCUAUGUCUCUCAAAGCCCACCCAUCCUGAAUGCCAUGCUUUCCAAAGACUCUAUGACUCCUGCAGUUAGGUUUGCUCAGAUUCUGCCUGAUCAGUGUAGUUCUCCAUUACUAUGGUAAGAAGUAAAUUCAGCUUUGUCUUUGUAUUUCAGAUGGCAAUGGAAGUCUCAUUAUCCCUUGGCAAUUCUGGAAUUUCCACUAAGAUUGUUUUAAAAGCUGAUUUUGCAUUAUUCCAGAAGACAGCUGAGUUCUCAGAAAGUAUUCUGCCUUUAAUUUAUUGUGCUGUGUUGUUUUGUUGAAGAACAGGAAGAAAAUCCAGCCUGGCAUAGGGAGGUAGUUGGAAAAAGAAACAGUGCUUUUAUAGCCUCUUCAAAUAAUUGUGGAUAUUCUUCUUUUAUGUAACACCAAAACUUGACAAGCAAUAGUUUCUUAAAGAUUCAUUGCAAUGUGGAAUCUGAAAUCAGGUGAACUUUUUAUAUUCUGUUACAUUAAAGUACAUUAGUGUAUCUUGAAUUUUGAAUGGAUCUUUUAAUCAUGCAUGAUUUUGUAUCAGUUUGCAUUGGUCAUUUGAAAAAUAUUGAGUCAUUGAGUAAUUUGGAUCUUUCAAAUGUUUACACAUUUCAGCAUGCAUGUGUUCACUACUAAUCUCAUCAGAAAGUUCUUUCUAUUGGUAUAUACUUACUGGAAUUUCUGAGUCACAGGAAAUAAGAACAUAAGGCAAUGACAACUUGCUUUCCCAAGUACUGUUCCUAAUUCAUAAUUCCACAAGCAAUUUUAUAGGAGAGCUCAAUAUUUUUUUCCUAGAACUUGAUACUUUUGAACACUGGUGUAAAAGAGUAUCUUGCUGUGGUCUUGAUCUGCCUUUUUCUGAUAAUGAAUUUGAGUAACUUUUCAUAUUUAUUCUUUUAUGUGAAAUAAAUGUCAUAUUUUUCAUUCCUCCCUUUUUUCCCAACAGCUUUAUUGAGAUAAUUUCCAUUCCUUACAAUUUACCCAUUUGAAGUGUACAAUUCAGUGGCUUUAGUAUAGUCACAGAUUGUGCAACCAUUACCAAAA